GAUUCUCAAUAGAAGGAGAAAGUUAUUUGGAAAUUGGACAAAAAAAAAAAAAAAACUUGUGUCUUCUCCCCAAAUAAUGAUAAAAAAGCUUUAGCCAUCUGAGUGGGUAAACUUAUUCCAUCUGCUCAAAACAUAAUUUGGACCCAACUGUUCUUUUACAAACCAGUGAGUUUGGUAUUGUACUUGAUUCAUGGCUAAAAUUUUAUAACAAUAGCUAUAAGGUCUCUCUUUGUGUCUAUAUGUUUAUGUAUAUAUGUAUGUAUGUAUGUUGUAGAUGUGAGAUAUUUUUUUUCUAUCUCCAAAUGGUAUUGCCAAAAGUAAUUUGUAAAACAACUCUACUUAAUUGGCUUUAAAAAAAAGCUUAUAAGAAUUAAGUAUUUCUAAACUCUCAGAAAUGUAGACACUAACCCAAAUGUUUCCCAAUCCUGCAUGAUCUGGGAACAUACUCAGUAAAUAAAAGCUAGUUAAGUCUUAGAGUAGGCAUGUUUGUUCAGAGUUCUCAGCAUUGGCUAUAAUACAGACAUACAACUUUUAUUGUACUUAGGUUUAUUAGUCAAAUAAGUUCAUGUUAUCUCUGUUCCAAAAUUUGUCAGCAAGAAAAAUAAUUUAGGAUUAUGUCUAACUUUGUUCAAUGUCUCAUGAAAAUUUCAGGAGUAAUCUGAUUGUUAAAAACAAGUGAAUUAAAUAAAUGUAAUUGGAAUAAAAGUUUGUAAAUGAACUUUUCCACAAUGAUGAGGUUUUAUAAUAUACGUCUUCCUUGAAAUGGCUUCCACAAUCUUUUUGGUAACUUGAAACCUUAAAAUGUUGUUAAGUUAGACAAUGGAAAUUCACUAUGUAUAUCAUGUCCAAAUAGAUGAAACCCUGAAUAGGUCUGUCUGCUUUUGGCUUCUUGUUACAGAGAAACUAAACAUAUUUGGGCCUGUUAGUAAACAUCUUGUGCUACAUUGAAAAAUUAUAAAGAAGCAUAUGCUUCUAGAAAUUAUGAAAUCUUUAAAUAUGCCAAUCAAUAGCAUAUUGGCAUGUAACAGCUCAUAAUUGCUUACUUCUUGGUUUUCACUACAAAUUAAGGUUUCAAAGGUUGGGAAUUCUAGUUAACAUAUGGAAUUAAAACUACUAGAAAUAGGGAAACAUCUCUGUAUGCAAUGAAAGUAAGAUAUAUUUUUGGUUAAGAAAAGGUACAGGUACAGAGAUGCUUUUUUGUUAAAGAGAAUAAUUUUGUCCUAAAGUAGACUUGGUUGUUUCAGAAUGGGAAAGAAAAUAAGGACAAAUUAAUUGGAUGCAGAAAGUUGGGAAUUGAGAGACAGCGAGAAUCUUGUAUAAUUAAGCUGGCUAAAAUACAAUGAGUUUAUUUUAAGUGUUUAAGGAUAAGUGUUAAUAUCAAUGGUGGAUGUAUAUAAAACUAAAAAUAUAUUUUCAUCUAUUAGAGGACAACAUUUUCUUGGACUUUUGGUCUCUACCUGAUAAAGGAUUGUGAAAGGCUUUCUUUUUACCUUUUAAGUAACCUGCCUAGAAAGCAAAAGAGUUUAUGGUUUACUAAAAUAAUGUCCUAAGAAAACUCGCCUUCAAAAUCCUUUAUUGUCACUUUGGUUAAAUAGGCAAUUAAGUAUUGUUUCAUAAUGAUCUGUGAUCCUAUUUAGUCAAGUGUUCAAAAUUGUUGAUACUUUUGACAGACUUCCAAAAAUCAAAUUCUAAAUGAAGACUUUGACCUUGACUAAUUUGGGAUAUUUCAGGAGGCCUGUGGAAUAUCUCAAAAUUUGUUCUCUCAUCUUGUAAAAAAAAAUAAUAAAUUAAUUAGGCUUUUGUUAAAUUACAUGGGAAGCAUUGGUAAAUAGGAAAUGAGACUAAGCUUUGUUAGAUUUGUAUGGACAAAUGCUUUAAGGGUUCUGGAAUUUUUGUGAAUUUCCUAGAAAUCUGAUAUGCCUUGGCAUAAUGUUAUAACCUAUAAUUCUAGUUAUUAUUUUUAAAUAUGUUAUAGAGAUAACCGUAUCUCCUUUUCAAUUGCAUUAUAUGAACUAAUCAGAUCUUUAGCCGUGGCCAUUUGUAAGUGUCAUUUACAGAUGUUAUGGUUUCGCUUUUGCAAAAGUGCUUUCAUUUUCAAGGAGAAUCAUGGAGAGGACUCCAACUAGUACAGGUUUCUGGUAACGUUUAUAUCAUACCAUUGAAUUGGGUAAGAAUUUAUAGAAAUCUAAGUAAAAACUGGAUUCUAAAACUGCUAACAAGAAGAGUAAGAUCAACAAUAAUUUAUUUCCUGUGAUUGAAUGAACUGAUGAAGAUAACAUUUAUGACUGUUUGAAACAUUGCUUAUUUUUUUAAUGCUUUGUUUUUCCAGAUUUAAGGAAACCUUUUUGAUGCCUCUUAAGCUGUCUAUGACUUACAGCAAUUUGGUAGGAUAUACCUUUGUGGGCAAGGUGAAACAAUUAUUUUUUCUCCCUACUUGAUCCUUCCAGAAUUUGGAAACUCUAGUAUUCUUACUUUCAUGUCGAUUUGCAUAAGUUCAAUAAGAACCUGUUCUUGUAACAGGAUACAAUUGUAUAUUAUAUUACCAAGCCUUUGACUAGAAUGUUGUAUUUGAGAACGUCCAUAGAAUCAGGUAUGAUCAGUUUUAAGCGACUUAGAUUGACUUUAUGGAGGUUCUGGAAUCCUUGCUUACAGGAUUCCUCACAGCCUUACCGGGAAGUUUAUUUCCUGGCAGGUAAGAACCUCAGGAUAUUUAGGGGAGCUUGAGAAGAGAGGAAUUAACCCAAAUGUAUAGGUUUUGCACCUUGGCUUCCUAGCCUUUGGAAGCUUUUAAAAAGUCCACCCUGAGAAUUCUUAUGAGAAGUUCCAGCCAAACAGAUACAGGAGUCUGUAUGGCCAACCGCUAUUCUUGUUGCCCUUAUGUAAAAAAUUCCGGCCAAGAUUGUUGAGGCUAGAUUUAUUUUGCAAACAUAACAGGGUUUUACUAUAAUUACCUUUGGUAAAAAUGGAGUUGAUUGUAGAGAAAAAUGAUGCUUCAGUAGAAACUGUAAUAUACUCUUGUGGAUAUCAGAUUGUACUCAUGUUAAUUGUCUGAGGUUUCAUUAUUUACCUGUAAACUGGACUAGUUCUGAAUACUUUGUUUCUUCAUAUCUGGUUACUACUUGUCCAACUAAUGUUUCCAAUUUUCUUCUACUCUUUUGACUUGGAAUCACUAAGAACAAAUCAAAAUUCCUAGAAAUCUGAUAUAUCCUGGUAUAAUAUCACUUGUAAGUCUAGUUAUUUUCUUAAAAUGUAUGUAACAGAAAUAACUACAUUUCCUGGACAAUUACAUUGUAAUGAACUCAAGUCUUUUGUCAUUUGCAAAAGUAUUUCCCAAAGCACUGCAAGCAUUCAUGUUUAGACAGUCUUCAUGCCUGUUGUUAUAUAGGCCACUCAGAAAGUUGACCUAAACACCAAUGACAUCAAACUGCAAAAGAUGCUUUAACCCAACCCAGCAUCUAGAAAUCUUCUGACUGGCUGUCUCCACAGGACUCAGACUAAGCCUAACUUCGGGAGCCUGCCUGCAGUACCACCUCCUGAAGGAGAUACAACUGUUUGAACUGACCUGUUUGUUAUUCUCAAGACUAAGAGACUUGUUCAGUGAAAUAAUAGUGGACUCUCUUAAUGGAAAAGGUACCCAACUUAAAUCUGCAGGACAACCUUACCCUUAUUUACUGUGCUUUUCCUGGUAAUUGCCUGUAAAUGACAAAGGCCUGGGCUGUUUCAAGGGGCUACUCAUACACAUUAAUAAACUUGUGUUUGUUUU